ensembl:lncRNA
GUUCUAAUCCUUGGGCCAGAAUGGCUCCACCUGCUAGUUUAUUAAUGGGAAACAUUUGCCCUGAUGAUGGUUGUUAACCUGAGGGGCUGUAAGGGAUGGGUCUCAGUUGCUGGUUUCCCUGGUAACUGAGCCAACGUGAGGUCAAUUCCCCCUGUAAAAGGUAGUCUCCAACCACCUUUUAAAAGGUGGUCUUGCCCCCCCGCCCCCAGCCAAGACCACCGCUAUCACUGUGUCCUGCUCGCCACCUUGUCUGUCUGCCACAUGUGAUGGGUUGUUCCUCCAGGACUUUUCUUCAGUGAUCCAUAUCGGUGUGCAUUUUUGGGAAAGGAAGACCCUGGAGAUGAUAGUGUAUUCUUCUCAGUGCAUCAGGAGGCAUCCUGUGCUAAUCUGGCCCAUGUUUGUGACGUUAACCAUGAUCACUUGGUUAAGGUGGUGCUGUCAUAUUUUUCCACUGUAAAAUCACUUCUUCUCCUUUGUAAUCAAAGGCAUCUUCAUAUAUAUUUCUAAAAGCUUCAUUGAGAUAUCAUAAAAUUCAUCCACCUCAAGGCAUAAUUCAGUGAUUCUUUUAUUUUGGUAAAUUUAGCUGUGCAGCCAUCAUCACAAUCUAAUUUUUUAAAAAAUUUCCAUUGUCGCCACAAGACCCUCUGUCUCAUUUGCAGUAGAUUCCCAUUCGCACUCUCCACCCCAGGCAGUCACUACUUUCUGUAUCUAUAGAUUUGAUUUUGGGGGGUAUAUUUCCUUUAAAUGGAAUCAUACAAUGUAUAGUCUGUGUCCGACUGGCUCCAUUUAAAUUUACUCUGGUUAGAGAACUAGAUCCUGCAUUCCAAAACUAAGACCUGAAGUAGCCAAAUAAAACAUUUUUAAAAAUAACUUUACUCACUUGUAUAAUAUUUAAGACUAUAUCUAUUGUGUUGAUGAACCACAAC